rnacentral:rRNA from 1 species
AACGAACGCUGGCGGCAUGCCUAACACAUGCGAGUCGAACGAGACCUUCGGGUCUAGUGGCGCACGGGUGCGUAACGCGUGGGAACCUGCCCUUAGGUUCGGAAUAACUCCCCUAAAGGGGUGCUAAUACCGGAUAAUGUCUUCGGACCAAAGAUUUAUCGCCUUUGGGUGGGCCCGCGUUGGAUUAGCUAGUUGGUAGGGUAAAAGCCUACCAAGGCGACGAUCCAUAGCUGGUCUGAGAGGAUGAUCAGCCACACUGGGACUGAGACACGGCCCAGACUCCUACGGGAGGCAGCAGUGGGGAAUAUUGGACAAUGGGCGAAAGCCUGAUCCAGCAAUGCCGCGUGAGUGAUGAAGGCCUUAGGGUUGUAAAGCUCUUUUACACGGGAUGAUAAUGACAGUACCGGGAGAAUAAGCGCCGGCUAACUCCGUG